AUCGUAUUAGGAGAUGGUGCUAAUUUCAAUGGUGAAAGUCUGAGUCUGUUUGAAAUGAAUGCCUCCACAAGCAUCAUCUCUGCUUCAGAAGCCUAUGCAGGAUACUUCACUCCCUAUCAAUCCAGCUACUGUUUGGAGAGUUCCUUGAAUAAUACUAAAGCUAGAUGGAAGAUUUUGGUAUGCCAACAUGCUGAGAGUUCAACAGAUUCCAAGCUGGCAAAGAGUGCAGUAGUCAGAGAAGCUGGUGGAGUU